rnacentral:rRNA from 1 species
UGGGGAAUUUUGGACAAUGGGCGAAAGCCUGAUCCAGCAAUGCCGCGUGUGUGAAGAAGGCCUUCGGGUUGUAAAGCACUUUUGUCCGGAAAGAAAUCCUUGGCUCUAAUACAGUCGGGGGAUGACGGUACCGGAAGAAUAAGCACCGGCUAACUACGUGCCAGCAGCCGCGGUAAUACGUAGGGUGCAAGCGUUAAUCGGAAUUACUGGGCGUAAAGCGUGCGCAGGCGGUUUGCUAAGACCGAUGUGAAAUCCCCGGGCUCAACCUGGGAACUGCAUUGGUGACUGGCAGGCUAGAGUAUGGCAGAGGGGGGUAGAAUUCCACGUGUAGCAGUGAAAUGCGUAGAGAUGUGGAGGAAUACCGAUGGCGAAGGCAGCCCCCUGGGCCAAAUACUGACGCUCAUGCACGAAAGCGUGGGGAGCAAACAGGAUUAGAUACCCUGGUAGUCCACGCCCUAAACGAUGUCAACUAGUUGUUGGGGAUUCAUUUCCUUAGUAACGUAGCUAACGCGUGAAGUUGACCGCCUGGGGAGUACGGUCGCAAGAUUAAAACUUAAAUGAAUUGACGGGGUCAUAGCUGUUCCU